AUUCGUAUUCUAUUCUAUGCAGGUUGCACCAAAGUCUACACGAAGAGCUCGCAUCUUAAAGCCCAUCAACGGAUCCAUACUGGAGAGAAACCUUACAGGUGUACGUGGAAUGCGUGUCAGUGGCGUUUUGCCAGAUCAGAUGAGCUGACGAGACACUAUCGCAAGCACACCGGGGCCAAGCCGUUCAAAUGUAAAGUCUGCGAGCGCUGCUUCUCACGAUCAGAUCACCUAUCACUACACAUGAAGCGGCACCAGGACAAGAUGAAUCACCAGCGAAAUGACGCGUCUCAAGCGGCUAUCACGCCGCACAUGUAACGUCGCGACGUCGACGCAUCGGACUCGUGCUGGUUUAGCUGUUUUAAGUGCUGGGACGUCAGAGGAACGUUGUUGAUUCGUAUUGGACACUCGCUGCCAUUCGAGUAUACGGUGCAACAGCGACGACAACGCAGCGUCAACGAUGCGACGUUGCCAUGCUUCUUCCCGUGUGAAAUGAAAUUCGGAACUAUAUUAGUGAAGGGAUGUUGCAAACAACGUCGCCGACGUCAGAGUAAUGUGUAAGAAAGUAAAUGUUUCGAACUUUUACGCUGAUUUGAAUUCCACUGGACAUAGAAAACGGUGUACUGACGAAGCCAAUCCUAGGCCUACAGCAUCCACAAUACUGAAUAAGGAGCCAGGGGGUGCUGGUUAGUAGUAGGACUGGCAAUGUAUAGGCCUACGUCAGUACGUGUUAGUGACAAUUGGUAAAGACUGCUUGUCGUAUAUACCAACAGUGGAGGAAAACGAACACCAACUAAACCUUGACCAAAUCUGUCUCAAGAUUGGCAACAUGUAGAAAUAGAUAGUAAAUUAAUAUUUUCAUGUGUACUUUCUGUAUAUUUCAUGUGUCUAUAUAUUACACAAAUAGAAACUUCCUUCAAGUUCUUUCUACAUCAAUUUACCAAUUUCUUCAACCUAGAGCCUCUUCUGCUCUUUCACCAUCUCUUUUUUCUCCCUUGUCUUCCUUCUCUCUCUUUUUUUGUUCUUCUCCCCCCUUUUUUCUAUUCUGGCUCAUCUUCGCUUGUAAUUUCUCAUCCCGUUUCUUCUCUCCAUGUAUCUUCUCUUCUCUCAUCUUCCGUCGUGUCUUCUAUUUACUUUCAUUCUUUUUUUUUUCCUAAUCGUUCUCGCUCUUUCCUUUCCCUUGCUCACCCUCAUAUAAAAGUCUCUCUCUUUCACCCUUCGCAGUUUCAGUGCUUUUUUCCGACCGUUUCCUUCCCGAAUCGAGCGUAAUUACCGUGAAGGUCAUUUCAUACAAGUAAAUCGAAAAUAUAAUUAAUCAAAUGGUUUUGAUUUAUUAACUGUUCUAAGGGGCUAUACGAAAUUCUACAACCCAACAAAGGACGUUGUACACUUUCGCCCUUUUGGCGCUUAAAGACAAGCGUACCUACAACAUCUUGCUAUUUAGAUACCAUAUCUCAAGUAUACCCCCUGCAAUAACAUAACUUCAUUACAAAAAUAUAGAUGUAGUUUUGCGGAUAGUGAAGCAUAAUUGCAGUCGACGUCAUAACGGCAACUUCCACCGACUCUCUGAGCCUGCGCGCAGCUGAUACAGUCAUACUUCGCCAAUUAUCGUACUAGGUUAGAGUGAACAUACCUAUGAGGAAAUUGCUUCAGGCAAACCGGGGUGCUUGAGGACAGGUGUGCCGGGUCUGGAGGGGGGCACACCAUUACCCCUCUAAAGAUCCCACCUCACCUGCUGGCGUUUUUUACAUUAUAAAUGGAAUAUUACAUUAAUGAAUGCUGGAAUCGUUUACGUCGACGUGCUUAUUUAGACAGGGUUGGGGGUCGUGGCACCCUUUCUCCGCGGGUUCACGGAAUGUUACGAGCGACUUGGUUUUAAAGUGUAUUUUAAGACAUCAUUAUUUAAAAGAAAUUGAAAGAAAGUCAGAGCUCAGAAUUAUGAAGCAAAAUUUCAAAUGCUUUUCUGUGUUUUCAUCAUAAAAUAAACAUUUUGUUUACGUUCAGAACUGAUGACUUAAAAAAUCAAAUCGAAGAAAACAUUCUUCUGAUACUGUUAUUUCUUUUACGAACGCUCGGAAAAAAUAACUAUCCUUCUUAUAAAGGAAUUAAUACAUGUACCUGUGUAUGCGGGGACGUGAGAUGGAGAUGCUAAAAAUAUCCCUUCAUACGAAUCUGUAGAUAUUCUUGAAAAUAUUUUUGUAAAUUUAUAUCGUUGUAUUUAUUACUUUUCACAUUUCAUUCCUGCCUGUGCCUUUACAAAAGAAUUUUAGAUAUAAAGAUAGAUAUAGAAAUAUACCAUGGAAAUAAUUAUAUGAAGAUUUUUAUGACAACAAAUACACACAGAUCAACUUCUGCAAUUGGGGUAAUGCUGCGAUAAAAUAGAGUUUGACAUAUUUUUGCUAUCAUAUUAACUUCAUUUAUAUUCCUUUUCAAUGUAUUAAAACCAGCAGAUAUUGACGUCACAGAGUGACCUAUGGAAUUUGCUCAAAACUGUUUAAUUGCUUGUAUAUUAGCAGUUGUCUUAGCGCCGUGAAAAACAUACCCAACGAAAUGUCAAUAUCUGCAUAAGGUAAAAAUGUGAAAUUUCUUAUGGUAUCUCGAGUUUUUUUGGAGUGAAGGUCACACGAGCGCAGAAAAGGUCAUAUAUUUGCGGAUUUAAUGAUAAGAGGUAGAUCUUUGGUCUGUUGGGAAUACGCCUACACGGUUUGAUCUUACAAACUGAUGACAAUAAUUCAUUUCAUAUUUUUUCCUCGUGAUAUCGAGAAGCCGAGAGGGUCUUAAAUCUAUUUGAUGUCAACACGAGUAGGUCGUAUUCAAUUACCCCGCUAUUUUUAAAAAAAGUGAAUGAAAAGGUUGUUUUGGAUGGUUACAAGUACAAGACAAGCAUAAGCAUUAUCAAUGAUACAGACAAGUGUGUGUCUCCAGUUGACACUGGAAAUAUUAAUAUGCCUGUAUCUUUCUGUGUGCAUAGAUUAUUUUUUUAUUCAACUCUUUUGUUUUCCUUUUUUGAUGAAAAUUUUAUUAUUGAUUAUAUGUGUACAAUUACUCUGACAAUGAUAUUUCUUCUGCUUUCGUAGUUUCAUUAAUUUCAUAGAUUGAUUGACAAUAUUGAGUGCAUGUUCUUUAUGGACUGUUUCAUCGAUCUCCGGGUGACACCUCGAGGGUCUGCAAGCACAGACUCAAUUUGACUCUCCAACCAAUUAUAGAAUGUCUUUGGUGAAAGACUAGAUUCCAAACUCUCCGUCUGCGUGAAAUAAGAUUUGGUAGAGACAGCCACAGCACAUAAUAAAUUUAGUCUCACUACUUCAGACUCUUCUUUAUGUACUAUGCAAAUUAAUAAAAUCCAAAGGUCUGUGCAUGCAGACUACCUUGAGAGUGUACGUUUCCUAGUGGGUCGGCGCUUUGCUUCAUACUGUACUCAAUAAAACAAUAAAAGAAAUGACAGACGACGCGAUUUGCGCCAAACAAUAAUUCUUACAAUAAUCCACAUUUGAUAGUAGUCUGUGCAAGUACAGACUCGAAUUUGACACUCCAACAAAUUAUACCAUGCCUCGAGUGAAGACUAGAUUGCAAACUCACUGUCUGUUUCAAAAUUUGGUAGAAGUAGCCAGGGUACAUUCAGACUCAACAUUGUGCACUAUGCGAAAGGUCUGUCUGACACAGGACAACCCUCUCCAGGACAGCUGUAUACGCUUUUUGGGGAGUACUUCUUCAAGGGUCAAGAUUCAAGACUAAUUUGAUAGCGUUUUCCAGCAAUUAUGAAAUGUUAUAUCUUGUAUCUUACACCUUGGAGUCUGUUCGGUAUAGCUAUAAUAACAGAGGACGGAUGUGAACGGAGUAUCACUCUUCAAAGUUGCUUAUUAUAGUCCAUGUAAACAUGUCUAUAUUCAUACGAACUUCUUUCAAAUCAAAUUAUCUCAUCAUGCAGCUUACACCACAGAUUAUAUCAUCAUGUACAGAUAGAUUUAGAAUAUUCUUUGAUAGUCUUUUCUUAUUUGAUUAUUUGUAAAGACAUGAUGACUAAUGGCUUUGAUAGUCAGGGUUCUUUUUUUUCUUUUGUUGUGCAAACGGAAGCGUGAUUAACGAUAUGUCUACUCGUUACAAUCAUACACAAUCAUCUCAUAUAAACAUAUAAAAGAUUUUUUGUAAGAAAUCUCGUUAUCACGCAAAGAAGUUAAAAUAAAAACAGUGCCUUAUACCUUUCACAUUAAAAAAACAAUUUCCAGGUGCUUUCGUGUAUAGAUAUGCCUUAUGUGUACUAUCUGCAUGAUACGUUGGACAUGAAAUAAAUGUGCAUAAACAGCAGCAGAUUAUUUGAAAAAUUUUCCAUUUUCAAAUCCCAACUUUAGAUUAUACAUCUAUAUUAAUAUCUCAUUUAACGAUGGUUUAUGCACGAAAUCAUGAAUUAUAUUUAUAUUUAUCUUUCUAUUAUGUCCGGGAACACCAGUUCUUUCUUUUACUCGGUAUUUUCAACUGCCACCUUAUCGCACCACAUUAUGUCGUGAAAAUAUAAUGGUUUUAUGAUACCAGUAGAUUAUGUGCCUUUACGUAAACAUCCAUUUCCUUUAAACAUUAAUAUGCGUGUAAAUAUAUUUUUAUUAUCGAUGAUAUACUUAUUGACUGUGUACAUAUCUGUUUGUCUUCCGUUAUAAUUGACGUUAUUUUCGAAGAGAGAGAAUAAAAUAUUCUAUGAAACAA